rnacentral:lncRNA from 1 species
UUAUCUUGUCUCAUGAUCACUAUAAAUAGUUAUGAAAUGUAUGUUUUUAUAUAUAUUUCACAACAAUGAUGAAAAUCAAGACUUUUAUUUUGUACUUGUUCUGUACAUUGCUUCUUAUCUCUGCUGUGAAAACCGAGACAACUGAAGAUGGUAAACAAUUAAUAUAUAAAUAAUUACCAUACAUUAAAGUACAAUUUAAUUUCAUAAAUUAAAAUUAUUUAUGAAUUUAUUUACAGGUUAUGCAACUCCAAAAGAAGAAUCAAAGACAAACGUUGAGUUAGAUGGGUUUGCACAUUGGAAAGGUGGAGGUGCAAUCUGGCAAACCCCCUCUACUGGAGGAAAUAAUGUGGUGCCAUUAUUUGGAUAGAUGUCUUUGCAAAUAUUAAAAACUAUAUGCAUCCAUAUGCUCAUGCAUCUAAUCAUGUUAAGAAUCAUAAAUAAAGUAUAGACCAAUAAUUAAUAAUCAUAAUAUUGUUCUUAUAUUUAUGUACUUACCAUACCAUGAACUAUAAUCAUAGUAACUCAUCUUGUUCAGAUUUUGAGUGUCCCGUAUGAAUCACUAAUCUAGUGUUAUAUAUAUAUAUAUAUAUAAAGUAAAAAUCUGUUUUAUAACAAUGAAUUUCAUAAGCUA